rnacentral:sRNA from 1 species
AAAAAAAACACCAAAA